GCUGGCUCCAGCUCACCUGCACUCUUGCCAGGGAGUGCUUGGUCUUCAGAUUUUCCCCUUUUUUGCUUGAUUAAUACAACACCAAUUCCCUGCUGCCCAGCCUUCUGGGAGGCACAUUUUGCCCUUAAUUCAGCUGACCUCAGCUCGUGAGCUAAAAUCAGGGAGCAGAGGAUGACUGGCGUUUCUCGGUUGUGAAAACCAUGGAUGCAUUUCAGCAAAGUCUAAGAAUCUUUCAAGCCAAGGCAAUGACGAGGGGUCUCUGCAGGUGCCUCCUUUUCUUCUUCCUGCACAUGGGGAGAGGGGGGCCUCUUCUGGUCUCUAAAUGGAAGCGGAUCACAUCUGGAGGGAUCAGUUGGUGGCCACAUCUUGAGCCCUCUGAAGCCAGGCAAGCCUCUGUUGUUUGUUUAAUAGCGGUCAGAGAAAACGUGUGGGAAACAGUUCUUAGUAAACAAAAGGAGGGACCUUUGAUGUAAACAGAAGCAUUUUCUCCUGGUCUUUUCCCUAAAGUCCCUGUCUCUGACAGAGAUAGGCAGGAAAAAAUGAACUUUGCUUCAAGAAGCUGGUUUCUCUGGAUCCCUGAGUGGAUCAUGAUAUAGCUGGGUCUUGAUGUGUGUUGGCAUGUGUGUGUGAAUGUGUGUUUGUGUGUGUGUGUAUGAGUGCAUGCACAUACAUGUGUCAGUGGCUGUGGAGUAACGCAGAAUCCAGGUGUUUCCUAAGCGGGUCUCGAAGUGGCUUCUGCCUAGAGUCAAUAGGUGAGAUUCAAUUCGUGAACAAUUAUCAAGUGCUCUGGUUGUUGCUGACGACAAGAAGGUGCCAAGGCUGUCAGGAGUUUACAGGCUAUCUAUACCACGCCAGGCCACACCAGGCUUGUGGGGGACAAGGGAUGCCUGCUGGGAUCACUGGCCAGAGGUAGGCACGGCUGCUGCUUGUUGGAACGGCACAUUCUACAAUAACAAAAUACAAAGGCCCGUUUUCUUGUGGGCCCCAGCUAAGCCGAAAACAGACAGCUGUGCGGAUGACUUGCCCACCUCAGCUAGGUGGUCAAGGCACCUCAACUCUUCAGACAGCAAACUUGAGACCACACUCUCACACCAAGGGGUUUCAGAGUUUGGGAGCUCAUUAUACCAACAACAUGGACAGCUCCCGUUUAUUGAGGUUUCACCACGUGUUGGCUGGACAGUUCUGAGCCCUUCAUUUGAAUACCCUGACUUUUAUCCUCCUCAAAGACACUGUGAGUUAGACACUACAAUAGACAAUCACAUUUCCAAUGCCCUUGGGGCCAGAGGUGUUUCAGAUUCAAAAUUCUUUGACUUUCAGAAAGACGAUAUGGUGAACAUGCUGUGCCUUGAAUGCCCCCAACUUCUCUCACUGUCCAGCCAACUCCUAUCCAUCCUUCAAAGGCCACUCAAAUGCUUCUUCCUCGGUGAGGCAUUUGCUGAUCCUCAUCAGCCCAUAAUGAAUGAUUGUGAACUCCUUGGCCCUGCUCAAAGCAGCACAGUUCCUAAUUAAACUCUCCAGAAACACCUUCAGCUAAGCUUUAACCAGAUGCCAGAGGCCCUGCAUGCUCUUUGGGAUCUGAAAUAGCCCGGCAUCAACCCCAUGCAGAAGUCCAAAUUCCCCACCCUGCCGAAGUCUGCAGACCCCCAGGGCAGGUCUCAUUUGCAGUCCCUGUGCCCUGCAGGCUCCUCUUCCUCCAAGCUGUUUCUUUCACAUAAUAACCAGGCUCCUUUUGACACCCACCGAGAAGCCACUUGACAAAGCACAUGUGAGAACACCUGCCUCUAUUGGACAUUUGUGCUUGGGGAGGGUGGCACAGUGGGGAUAUUGUUUCUGGAGUUACACAACCCAGCUCACAGUGAAAGUGGUCCUGUUUUAAAUGUCCCCUUCUGGACAGCCUGGUCCCCUACCUCACGGUGUCCCAAGCGCCCCACCUUCUCACUGGCCCUUGCUCUUCCCCUCACUUCCCUCUGCCCUCUUCUAACCUCUGCUCCAUCCUCUUAGGUAAAACCAACUGCUGUCUUCUCCUUGCAGAGGAAACUGACCCACUCUUUCCCUUGCUUGGGCCCCUCCUGACACCUUCUCACCCAUGCCCUAAGCCUAAGGCUCCCAAAUACCACCACAAGCAGCUCACUAAGACUUUCCCCCAAAGCAAGCGCAUCCACCCCCGAGGAUAUUAAAGGCAGCAGGUAAAAUGAUAAAAACAGUUUGGCUUAUGACUGUUGUUUACCUGCCUAUCUUGCUCGCGCUGUUUGUCUCUUUUGCUCUGCUCACUGUCCUCAGCCUCUAGCACGAUGCUGGAUGCAUAGUAGGGCUUUGGUAAGUGAUUACAAAAUGAAUGCAUGCAUGAUAAAUGAAGACUACUCCCGAGAGGCAGUACGAACGCAGAGAUUUAUUUUCUGCAAGAGCAUGAAAGACGUAACAGGAGAGAGAGCACGCGACUGUGUGUGUGGAUGUGUGUUUUCUGGGAGGGAAGUCAGGGAUGUUAGGCCUGGAAAUGUGUAAAGGGAGAAAGAGACAAGAUGAGCCAGGCCCCUGAGGUCAGGUGGGCAAGGCUGGAGGCCUGAGGCUUGAGACAACCCAGCGGCCUAGUGAUGAAGGGCAGCCACGGUGAACUUGACCUUCCUGGUAUGUAAAUGAGGACAGAGCAUCACAGGGGAGGUCUGCCCCCAGCACCCCCUGCCCCUGAGCAGGACGCCCACACUGUUCAGAAUGAUGGGACUGCAUCUGCUGUUAUAUUGAAGAUGCCCAUUUGCAUCUAAUAAACCAUCAUUGAGUCCCUACUGUGUGCCAAGCCCUAUGUUAGGUGCUGGGGAUAUAAAGGUAGGAAGAGGCUCACAGUGUAGGGGAGGAACACAGUUGUAAGCAGAUGAUCCUAAUCUAGAGAGCAGAGCUAGGGACCCUGAGCUUGCACCCUGGAGCUGGUCUGCCUAGGAAGGCACUGGGCAACACUACCUUAACGUGUGACCUGAGGAAAGUUGUUUGACAUGCGGUGCCUUCCUCGCUGUGUUGUUGUGGGCUGUAAACAGGUUAAUAUGCAUCAAAUCCUCGGGGCACUGGAGGGCAGACGGCAUGCUCUGCCUGAGUUUGAUAUACUACCCCUACUAAUGAUAAUGGUAAUUAUUAUUAUGCUGUGACAAAUGCUAUGGCAGUCCCUGCCAUGGCACCCAAGGCCCUCCAUGGUCUAGCCCUUCCCUGACUUCAAUUCUUAACACUCUCCCCUCCUACUCUAGACCAGGGUUUCUCAACCUAAGCAUGGUUGGUGUGUGGGAUCCAAGAGAAUUCUCUGGGGUGUGUGUGUGUGUGUGUGUGUGUGUGUAAGGUAGGGAGGCUGUCCUGUGGGCUGUAGGAUGCUUAGCAGCACCCUUGGCCUCUACUCACUAGAUGCUGGUAACAUCACCUCUCUCCCCAGCUAUGCCAUCCAGAAAUGUUUGCAGACAUUGCCCAACAUCCCCUGGGUGCAAGGGAGAGGGAGUAAAACUGCCUUUGAUAGAGAACCACUGCUCGAAACACACCCAUCUCCUUGCUCAAAUACAUAAGCUUACUUAGACCUCAGGGUCUUAGCACCUGCUGCUCCCUCUACCUGAGUGCUCUUUCCCUGGAUAACAGAUGGCUCAGUCCCUCACUGUUUUCAGGCCUCUGGUCAAAUGUCACCAUUGGCCAGGCCCAGUGGCUCACACCUGUAAUGGAAACACUUUGGGAGGCCAAGGCAGAAGAAUUGCUUGAGGUCAGGAGUUUGAGACCAGCCUGGGCAACAUAGUGAGACCCCAGCCUUACAAAACUUUAAAACACUAGCCAGACAUGGUGACAUGUGCUUGUAGCCCUAGUUAGUUGGGAGGUUGAGGCAGGAGGAUCACUUGAGCCCAGGAGUUUGCAGCUGCAGUGAGCUAUGAUUGUACCACUAUACUCCAGCCCAGGUGACAGAGUGAAACCCUGUCUCAAAACAAAAAUGAAAACAAAAACAGUCACCACCUCCUCAUAGAGGCCUUCUCUGGCCACUGCAUAAAUACACACACACACACACACACACACACACACACACACACACACACACACACACACUCUUCACAUGUUUCAUGUCUCAUAAACUCCCUUUCUCAACCCACCCUGUAGCCAGUCCACAUCUAACAGGAGUCAAAAGUGGCCUGAUUUAGAAGGCAGCCAGCCCAAUCAAGGCAAGAAAAGUGCCAGGUUGCAUCUGCCCCUAAACCUGGCUCAUCUGGACUGUGCCUCCCGCUCCUCCCUGGGCUGACCAGGCUGAGCCUUGGAGAGCAUCUGUAUCUCCCUGUUGGUUUUGGAUGAAAUGACAGAGGCCCAGAGAGAUGAGGGCAGAUUCCCCCACAGUCCCACAGAGAGUUGGUGGCAGUGUAGGAACCAUCUUUUCUGAUCCCAGGCAGGAAUGGUGUUCUCUAAAAGCAAAGAUUGAAAGGGAGGCUGGUUGAGGCUUCCUAACACAGAAUUAGGCAAAGUUGUUUAUCUGCAGAAUGAGGGUAGAAGUCCCUUGUGAGAGUGCUGAGGAGAUUAAAUGAGAAUGUUUAUGAAGCACCCAGCACAUGCCUGGUGCGAU
rnacentral:lncRNA from 1 species